CCUACGGGAGGCAGCAGUGAGGAAUAUUGGUCAAUGGACGGAAGUCUGAACCAGCCAUGCCGCGUGCAGGAUGACGGCUCUAUGAGUUGUAAACUGCUUUUGUACGAGGGUAAACCCCGAUACGUGUAUUGGGCUGAAAGUAUCGUACGAAUAAGGAUCGGCUAACUCCGUGCCAGCAGCCGCGGUAAUACGGAGGAUCCGAGCGUUAUCCGGAUUUAUUGGGUUUAAAGGGUGCGUAGGCGGUUUGAUAAGUUAGAGGUGAAAUGUCGGAGCUCAACUCGGGAACUGCCUCUAAUACUGUUGAACUAGAGAGUAGAUGCGGUAGGCGGAAUGUAUGGUGUAGCGGUGAAAUGCUUAGAGAUCAUACAGAACACCGAUUGUGAAGGCAGCUUACCAAACUAUAUCUGACGUUGAGGCACGAAAGCGUGGGUAGCAAACAGGAUUAGAUACCCGAGUAGUC
rnacentral:rRNA from 1 species